GAAGCCUAUGGAAGUAUAGACCACCUGGUAUUCCUUAAAGUGCACC
rnacentral:lncRNA from 1 species